rnacentral:lncRNA from 1 species
UUUGGAACUGGGCCAGACUAGGAAAACAGGAAAGAUGACGAACAAAGCUUCCCUCCUUCUGAGGGUUGUUUAUUCCAGUGUUCCUUCAGUUGAGUUUUCUGGGUACACAGCAGCCCUUGGCUUUCCAUCCCAUGUGCAGCCUCUGGCCCAGCACUUAGUCCACUCUCAGUCAUAGAGCUUAUCACACAGACUUGCUCCAGUGCCCACUUGUCCAACUGCCCCAAACUCCUGGAAACCAGAAAGAACACAGAUGUAUCUCAACUGAGUGCCUACCAUAUUUCUACAGGAGGAACUGUCUUCGCAUAAAAGCCCCUCUGCAGCUCCUUAAGAGAAAGGGUCUCUACUAUGUUGCCUAGGCUGGCCUUGAACUCCUGGACUCAAGUGAUCUUUCUGCCUCAGCCUCCCAAAGUGUUGACAUUACAGGGGUCACCAUUGCAUCAAGGUAAUUUUCCAUGAGACAGGAAGACAUUUAGAAGGAAGACUUGCCAAGACUUGCUGAUGGAUUGGAUGUGGAGGGGGAAUGCUGAGAGGAGGAGAAAGAGCCCCAGGUGAUACCCAGGUUUUUGGCAUAUGGGUGAGUGGAAUGGCAAUCAUCUGAAGGAGUUGGCUUGGGGAGACCAUGAUAGGUUCCACAUUAGUUAUCUG